AUGGUUCAGACUGGUAGACACAUCAUUUUUCCUUUGGUAUAUCGCCUCAUUGAGUUGGCAUUGAUUUUGCCUGUUGCAACAGCGUCAGUGGAAAUAGCUUUCUCAGCAAUGAGUAUUGUCAAGACUGAGUUGAGGAAUAGGAUGAGUGAUGAUUGGCUGAAUUAUAGGAUGGAUUGCUAUAUUGAGCGAGAUGUAUUUGCAACUGUUGAUGAUGAUGAUAUUGUAUAUCGCUUUCAAUCAUAUAGGUCUCGCAAAGGGCUCUUACCUCGUCGAAGUUGUAAGUUUUUAAAUAUGUAUCAACGGUAA
rnacentral:rRNA from 1 species